rnacentral:sRNA from 1 species
CACCGCCUGGGGAGUACGACCGCAAGGUUAAAACUCAAAUGAAUUGACGGGGACCCGCACAAGUAGUGGAGCAUGUGGUUUAAUUCGAAGAUACGCGCAGAACCUUACCAACACUUGACAUGUUUGUCGCGACUUUAAGAGAUUAAAGUUUUCGGUUCGGCCGGACGAAACACAGGUGCUGCAUGGCUGUCGUCAGCUCGUGUCGUGAGAUGUUGGGUUAAGUCCCGCAACGAGCGCAACCCUCACUUUUAGUUGCCAUCAUUUAGUUGGGCACUCUGAAAGAACUGCCAGUGAUAAGCUGGAGGAAGGUGGGGAUGACGUCAAGUCCUCAUGGCCCUUACGUGUUGGGCUACACACGUGCUACAAUGGUAUUCACAAAAGGAAGCAAAACGGCGACGUUUAGCAAAUCCUAAAAAAAUACCUCAGUUCGGAUUGCACUCUGCAACUCGAGUGCAUGAAGCUGGAAUUACUAGUAAUCGUGGAUCAGCGUGCCACGGUGAAUGCGUUCCCGGGUCUUGUACACACCGCCCGUCACACCAUGGGAGUUGGUUUCUACCUUAAGGCAAGGUUUAAAACCCUUGACCACGGUAUAGUCAGCGACUGGGGUGAAGUCGUAACAAGGUAGCCGUAGGGGAACCUGCGGCUGGAUUACCUCCUUUCUAAGGAUGAAUGAAAUUUUAUUUCAUUCUAAAUAAUAAACAGGCUAAUGUUGACCGUCCUCGUUUCUCUUCUUAAAUUAAGUGUUUCUCUUGCAUGGGGGCCGGUAGCUCAGUUGGUUAGAGCACACCCUUGAUAAGGGUGGGGUCGAAAGUUCGAGUCUUUCUCGGCCCACCAAUUUAAGAUCUAAGGGGGGAUUAGCUCAGCUGGGAGAGCGCCUGAUUUGCAUUCAGGAGGUCAGCGGUUCGAUCCCGCUAUCCUCCACCAGAAAGCACUUAGAUAUAAAAAAUUGUAAAUACUAAUAAUUAAUAUCAAUAUCUAUAUCCGAACAUUAGUAAUGUUAUUAGCUAAUGUUCUUAUAAAAAUUUGAUUCAACACAGAAUUUUUUUCUG